CUGCGUGGGCCCACCUGUGGGCAGCGCUCCCUGGAAAGCGCAGGGCGUGGGCUUUGCAUACCCACGGAAGGAUGAAAGCGGAUACUCAGAACGUGGAUCACCCCCCCCAUACCACCUCCGUCUGCCCUCAUUUUUGUCCUGCUAUGGGGAAAUAACCCAGAACUGACAGUGCUGGGGAUGUAGCUGGCUCGGCAGUAAGCAAUAAAUAAGAUCUGGAUGCAGAACAG